AACUCAGUGGCCUAGUGGUUAGAGCGUCCGUCUUGGAUGCGGAAGGUCGUGAGUUCGAUUCCCGGUCGAGUCA